CAGCAUUGCUCAGUAGCGGCGAGUGAGCGGCAAAGCUCAAAUUUGAAAUCUGGCGUCUUUGGCGUCCGAGUUGUAAUUUGAAGAAGGUAUCUUUGGGCCCGGCUCUUGUCUAUGUUCCUUGGAACAGGACGUCACAGAGGGUGAGAAUCCCGUGCGAUGAGAUGGCCCGGGUCUAUGUAAAGUUCCUUCGACGAGUCGAGUUGUUUGGGAAUGCAGCUCUAAGUGGGUGGUAAAUUCCAUCUAAAGCUAAAUAUUGGCGAGAGACCGAUAGCGAACAAGUACAGUGAUGGAAAGAUGAAAAGAACUUUGAAAAGAGAGUGAAAAAGUACGUGAAAUUGUUGAAAGGGAAGGGCUUGAGAUCAGACUUGGUAUUUUGCAAGUUACUCUUUCGGGGGUGGCCUCUGCGGUUUACCGGGCCAGCAUCGGUUUGGAGCGGUAGGAUAAUGGCGGGGGAAUGUGGCACGACUUUGGUUGUGUGUUAUAGCCUCUGACGAUACUGCCAGCCUAGACCGAGGACUGCGGUUUUUACCUAGGAUGUUGGCAUAAUGAUCUUAAGUCGCCCGUCUUGAAA
rnacentral:rRNA from 1 species